CAAAGAUUUGUGGGGUUACCAAAAGCCAUAUAGAAUACAUCAGUCACUCUAGAGCAUCCUCUAAAUUGCUCCAAACAUCAUCUGGGCCUCUCAGCUAUGUAUGAGGUAUCCAUCACUGUGGAAAAUGCUUCUAUGAUAUAGCACCUAAGAUAUGUAGCCUACCACAGCUGAAACUUAGGACUUGAAACAUAUCAAAAAGAUCACCUCUUGAUGUGGUUGAUCCUAUUGUAAACUGAUAUUGAUUUCUGACUUUGUGUGUGAUGACGAUGUUGUUUGCUCAGAUCUCUUAAGCUUUUUUACCUUUGUCUUGAGUUGCCCUUCAGAAUUGUGAUGUCUCUGUCUGUAUUGCUUCAGAUGAGGAGGAGCUCCAGGCUCUGCAACAGGCUUACGAUCAGAAGACCAAGGCUAGAAGGGGCCCGCUGAUAAAGACACAGAAGCCUCUUCACAAGCAGAGCCAGCUGAUUGGUUCUCCUUAGGAAGAGAGGAGGAGCCCAAAGGAAGAGCUGGAGGGAGUGAGCUAUGCAUUAGAGAGGAAGCAGCUUUUAAGCCAGUCUCAACGUUACAGCGACAUAGACAAAAGCAUCCGUCAAAAGAAAGAGACCAUUACUACAGAAAGAGGCUACUAAAAAAUUAAACAUCACUGCAGAGAAUGUGCAGCUCCGGCAUGACAUAGAAUCCCUGGUAAUAGAAAAAGAAAAGUUCCUGCAGAGGAGCAGCAAAUUGGAGAAGGCAAUCCAGGAGGCCGAUCUGGAGCUUGGCAGAGAGCUCCAGAAGAUCAGCAAGAGCGAUCUCAUCAGGGAAGAAACUGAAGCACAGAGAGUACGAAAGUUAGAGAAAGCUUGCUCAGACGAGGACACUUGUGCUACAAAGAUACAGAAGCUACAGAGACAGACAGACCAUGGCGACAAAUUAGCGUACUUUCUACAACAGAAGAAUAACCCCAGGCAGCCAAACCUAAAGUACUGCUCUACAGCAGAGAAAAGAGGGGCACACCAGCAAGAGCUACAGCAAGAACAGCUGAAAGAAUAUGAGACUGAUAUGGAGAAGAUCAAUGAUAUUGUUCAAGGCAGGCAGAGAAGAAGCGAGAGAAAGGAGAGUGGUUCUGAAGAUUUUGACUCUUAUGGAGCCAUCUCCAAGUACAUCUUGGAAAUCAGGUGCAUACAUACACAGAGACACUUAGACCCCAUGUACAGACGAUCACUUCUAAGUUAG
rnacentral:lncRNA from 1 species